rnacentral:other from 1 species
AAUACCCUGCAGUGUUCGAUGUCGGGUUUUUAAAAUUGACCCAACAGUUGGAUAGAAAGGGAUUGUCACUGUCCUUUCGGUAAAGAAACAUGGGAAACUUUGAUUUUUUACCAAUAGGAUAUACGAUUACCACCUAUUUUUAAUAGGUCUAAUUUUAAAACUUCUUCGGCACAAGCGGGGUUUUC